UCCUGCCAGUAGUCAUAUGCUCGUCUCAAAGAUUAAGCCAUGCAUGUGUAAGCAUAAGAGAUACAAAACAAAGCUGCGGAAGGCUCAUUAAAUCAGUUAUAAUCUAUAUGGUGAAUCAAACUACACGGAUAACUGUAGUAAUUCUAGAGCUAAUACGAUUACCUUGGGAGCCAUGCAAAUGGCUUACCGAUCGGGGGGAUAGUUAGUGUCAAGUUAAAUUUGAAAACCCCCCUGAUAUCGAGUCGGCUGUAAAGCCGAUAUACCAUAUGAAUUUCUGACCUAUCAACUAGAUGGUAGUGUAGUGGACUACCAUGGUUUCUACGGGUAACGGGGAAUUAGGGUUCGAUUCCGGAGAGGGAGCCUGAGAAACGGCUACCACUUCUAAGGAAGGCAGCAGGCGCGCAAAUUACCCAAUCUCAAUUUGAGGAGGUAGUGACAAGAAAUAGCAAUGCCUCGACCCUUUUGGGUCUGGCAAUUGAAAUGAAUUAAAUCUAAAUCCUUUGAUGAGGAACAAUUGGAGGGCAAGUCUGGUGCCAGCAGCCGCGGUAAUUCCAGCUCCAAUAGCGUAUAUUAAAUUUGUUGCAGUUAAAAAGCUCGUAGUCUAUGUUGGAUCCGUCCUAAUCGAGGGGGCUGCUUUCGGGUAGUUCACUACGGUUCUAGUCCGGAUCAUAGCGUCUUGGUGAAAGGUUAACUAUUAAUUUAGUGCUUUAGCUGAGACCGCUCCACCUUGAGAAAAUUAGAGUGUUCAAAGCAUGCAGGUCUGCAUGAAUAUAUUAGCAUGGAAUGGUAAUAGUGUCGGGAGUUGAUUGAUACCAACCUCGACUCAGUGAUUAAUAGGAACGAUUGGGGAUAUUUGUAUUUAAUAGUCAGAGGUGAAAUUCUUGGAUUUAUUAAAGACAAACAGAUGCGAAAGCGUUUAUCAAGGGCGUUUUCAUUGAUCAAGAACGAAAGUUAAGGGAUCGAAGACGAUCAGAUACCGUCGUAGUCUUAACUAUAAACGAUACCGACCAGGAAUUAGGAGACGUUAAUAUGGAUGACUCCCCUAGCGCCUUACGAGAAAUCUAAAGUCUUUGGGUUCUGGGGGGAGUAUGGUCGCAAGGCUGAAACUUAAAGGAAUUGACGGAAGGGCACACCAGAAGUGGAGCCUGCGGCUUAAUUUGACUCAACACGGGAAAUCUCACCAGGUCCAGACAUUGGUAUGAAAGACAGGUUGACGACCUUUCUUGAUUUUAUGGGUGGUGGUGCAUGGCCGUUCUUAGUUGGUGGAUUGAUUUGUCUGCUUAAUUGCGAUAACGAACGAGACCUUGACCUGCUAACUAGUUUGGCGAACACAUAUAUGGUUGAAACUAUCAUAUGAGAACGGGGAUUUAUCUCAAGUUGCAUUGGUAGCGGAUGCUCGUGCGAUUUGUCACUAACUUCUUAGAGGGACUGCUAGCACAAAGCUAGAGGAGGAUAGGCAAUAACAGGUCUGUGAUGCCCUUAGAUGUUCUGGGCCGCACGCGCGCUACAAUGAAGUUAGUAAAAGGAAUUACUGGAUUUAAUGGUUUGGUAAAUCGGUAAUCCUCUUCUUAACCGGAAUAGAUGAUUGCAAUUAUUUGUCUUGAACGAGGAAUUUCUAGUAAGUACAGUUCACUAAACUGUGCUGAUUACGUCCCUGCCCUUUGUACACACCGCCCGUCGCUUCUACCGAUUGAAUGUUCAGGUGAAAUGUUCGGACUUUACAUUGUCUUGUGGGCAACCACAAAUAGUGUUAGGAAAGAGCAGUAAACCAUAACAUUUAGAGGAAGAAGAAGUCGUAACAAGGUCUCCGUAGU
rnacentral:rRNA from 1 species